UGUACGUGUAGCUCAGCUGGAUAGAGCGUCUGGCUACGGACCAGAAGGUCGUGGGUUCGAAUCCUGUCACGUACAUC
rnacentral:tRNA from 1 species